GACGAACGCUGGCGGCGUGCUUAACACAUGCAAGUCGAGCGGAGCGGCGAACGGGUGAGUAACGCGUGAGUAACUGCCCCCCUCUCUGGGAUAACAGUUGGAAACGGCUGCUAAUACCGGAUCGUGGGGGAUGACUCGCGUCCUAUCGGCUUGUUGGUGGGGUAGUGGCCUACCAAGGCGACGCCGGGUAGCCGGCCUGGGAGGGCGACCGGCCACAUUGGGCUGAGAGACGGCCCAGACUCCUACGGGAGGCAGCGGUGGGGAAUCUUCCGCAAUGGACGAAAGUCUGACGGAGCAACGCCGCGUGAGUGAUGACGGCCUUCGGGGUGUAAACCGCUUUCAGCCAUGACGCGGUAGUGGCAGAAGAAGCACCGGCUAACUACGUGCCAGCAGCCGCGGUAAUAC
rnacentral:rRNA from 1 species